rnacentral:lncRNA from 1 species
ACGGCCUGGCGCGACCUGGGUGGUCCCGGGCUGCGCGAUCUGCUGCGACCUGAGUUAUUGUGCCGGCCCUGUUUGUCAGAGCCCAGGGAAGAGCAGGAACAACGAAAUAUUCUGGGGCCGGAUAGUUGAUAGCUGUCUUUUAUUUAAAAUAAUUUUCACACGGAGGACUUAAGUACUUCAGAAAAACACAUCUAAGGGAAGCCAACCUAGACUUCUCGAGGUGAAUGUUCCUUGGAGAUGAAGAAUAGCUCAGACCUGAGAAUCCAGAGGACAUGGCUGGAAUUUGGCCAAUGACAAUCCUGUGGAUGGGACAAAGUCAACCCUCACCUCUCAUUUCUUUGAGCUCAUUGUUUAGCUUCCUAACAGUGGUGACAAAGAAAAAGCACAAAUUAUAUUGCGUGGUGGAAAGGAAUAAAGGCAUGAAGCUAGCAACUAUCUACAGUAUGGAAGGGAAAACAGAGAAAGAGUAAAAGGAGAGUGGAGGAGGAGGAAAGAACAAGAGAGAAAAGAGGAAAAGGAGAAAGAGAAAAGGGCCCAUGGUAAGGAUGCAAUUUUUAUUUGUCCACCAGAGGGCGGUAUGUCAACUGAUGAGAAUAGAGGCCAGAAUGAAAGAUUUUUAUUGACUAUCUACAGGUGUUACUUUUUUAAAUGAAGUAUUCUAUUAUAAUUCAUUUUUAAAGUGUGUUUAUGGUGAAUUAUUAUUUUGUAAACAUUCCUCACUUUAUAAAAUGGCUCAGUACAUUUCAAAGUACAAAAACAUUUGUAAAUGGG